rnacentral:tRNA from 1 species
GGAGAUAUAGCUCAGUUGGUAGAGUGCUUGCCUCACAUGCAUUAGGCCCUGGGUUCAAUCCCCAACACCA